AUUGAACGCUGGCGGCAGGCCUAACACAUGCAAGUCGAGCGGCAGCGGAAAGUAGCUUGCUACUUUGCCGGCGAGCGGCGGACGGGUGAGUAAUGUCUGGGAAACUGCCUGAUGGAGGGGGAUAACUACUGGAAACGGUAGCUAAUACCGCAUAGCGUCGCAAGACCACAGCGGGGGACCUUCGGGCCUCUUGCCAUCAGAUGUGCCCAGAUAGGAUUAGCUAGUAGGUGGGGUAACGGCUCACCUAGGCGACGAUCCCUAGCUGGGUUGAGAGGAUGACCAGCCACACUGGAACUGAGACACGGUCCAGACUCCUACGGGAGGCAGCAGUGGGGAAUAUUGCACAAUGGGCGCAAGCCCGAUGCAGCCAUGCCGCGUGUAUGAAGAAGGCCCUCGGGUUGUAAAGUACUUUCAGCGGGGAGGAGGGUGUUGAGGUUAAUAACCUCAGCAAUUGACGUUACCCGCAGAAGAAGCACCGGCUAACUCCGUGCCAGCCGCCGCCGUAACAC
rnacentral:rRNA from 1 species